rnacentral:misc_RNA from 1 species
GAUGAAGAACGUAGCGAAAUGCGAUACUUGGUGUGAAUUGCAGAACCCCGCGAAUCAUCGAGUUUUUGAACGCAAGUUGCGCCCGAAGCCAUUCGGCCGAGGGCACGUCUGCCUGGGUGUCACGCAUCGUUGCCCCCCCAAACUCCGGUUCGGGCGGGGCGGAAGUUGGCCUCCCGUGUGUGCCUGCGCGCGCGGUUAGCCCAAAAGCGAGUCCUCGGCGACGAGCGCCACGACAAUCGGUGGUUUUUUUACCCUCGUUCCUCGUCGUGCGUGUCCCGUCGCCCGAACGCGCUCUUGUGACCCUCACGCGUCGCCUCGGCGGCGCUCCCAACGCGACCCCAGGUCAGGCGGGACUACCCGCUGAGUUUAAGCAUAUCAAUAAGCGGAGGA